AGAGUUUGAUCCUGGCUCAGGACGAACGCUGGCGGCGUGCUUAACACAUGCAAGUCGAGCGGAAAGGCCCUUUCGGGGGUACUCGAGCGGCGAACGGGUGAGUAACACGUGAGUAACCUGCCCUGGACUUUGGGAUAACCCUCGGAAACGGGGGCUAAUACCGGAUAUGACCACUGGUCGCAUGGUUGGUGGUGAAAAGUUUUUCGGUCUGGGAUGGGCUCGCGGCCUAUCAGCUUGUUGGUGGGGUGAUGGCCUACCAAGGCGACGACGGGUAGCCGGCCUGAGAGGGCGACCGGCCACACUGGGACUGAGACACGGCCCAGACUCCUACGGGAGGCAGCAGUGGGGAAUAUUGCACAAUGGGCGGAAGCCUGAUGCAGCGACGCCGCGUGGGGGAUGACGGCCUUCGGGUUGUAAACCUCUUUCAGCAGGGACGAAGCGGAAGUGACGGUACCUGCAGAAGAAGCGCCGGCCAACUACGUGCCAGCAGCCGCGGUAAGACGUAGGGCGCGAGCGUUGUCCGGAUUUAUUGGGCGUAAAGAGCUCGUAGGCGGCUUGUCGCGUCGUUCGUGAAAACCUGCAGCUCAACUGCAGGCUUGCGGUCGAUACGGGCAGGCUGGAGUUCGGUAGGGGAGACUGGAAUUCCUGGUGUAGCGGUGAAAUGCGCAGAUAUCAGGAGGAACACCGGUGGCGAAGGCGGGUCUCUGGGCCGAUACUGACGCUGAGGAGCGAAAGCGUGGGGAGCGAACAGGAUUAGAUACCCUAGUAGUCC
rnacentral:rRNA from 1 species